rnacentral:rRNA from 1 species
GGGUCAGUAGGUUGGUCGUGCCACCGGUACGUACUGGUCUCACUGAUUCCUCCUUCCUGAAGAACCGUAAUGCCAUUAAUUUGGUGUUGCGGGGAAACAGGACUGUUACAUUGAAAAAAUUGGAGUGUUUAAAGCAAGCUAACGCUUGAAUACAUUAGCAUGGAAUAAUGAAAUAGGACGAUCGAUCCUAUUUUGUUGGUUUCUAGGAUUGACGUA